AAUUGCGAUGACUAACAAGCAGAGAAAUGUUUUUCAUUUUUUAUUAAAGUGUGGGGAAGGCCUCAUCCAGCAGUGGAUUGACAAAAUGCCUGGGCAUGUUCCGUAUUUACCUUAGGAAAGCCACGCACGUCCAGUCACUUCCGUCAUUCCAAGCGCCUCUUGCAGCGACAGAAGUGGUUGUGCGCGUGUGCUCGUGCGUCUCACCAAAGCUUUGGAGGAACGCUGGCACAAAGGACACUCGACUGACCAAGGAGCUGGUCAAGGAGCCUCUGCAGGAAAGGGGUCGACGUGACGUUGCGUGGUGGCGCAUGGCAGUGAAGUGUGCUUGUGUCGGCAGGAAGCGGCGUCGUGUGCAGGGUGACCCGCUGACCUGGGCAUCCGCAGCCAGUUCUGUUUUGCCCGUAUAGCAACAGAGGGACUUGGACAAUGAGGAGAAGCAAAGGCUUUCUCCUGUUUACACGGACGCUUAAGAGAUUGAUGGAGAAUUGAGAACAAAUGAGUCCAAAGCAGAAAAUUGAAUUUCCCCUGGACGUGAUGAAAG